UGGAGGUGUGGAGCAAGAAGAGAUCAACGUGUUGCAGUGAGCGGAGGCUAAAGGAAGGAGGACGAUCAUUAGAAUAAAAUCGGAUAGGUGGUGUUCAUAGUCAUCUGAAGGAUAAAAUCAUCCUGUAGCAUUUCUCCCACCUGACUAUAUAUAAUCUUACUAUUACUAAUUGGAGGCUCCUUUUGAAUUCUCUAGGUGAAGUCACCUAGGUUUCCUAGGUAGACACUCUAGAAAAAGAGAGAAAUUCAAGAAAUUCUCACAAAAAAGCAAAACAUCUAGCCCUCAAUCGGUAGAUUCAAAUCAUCAUAGCCAUUGGAUCUAUUAUGUUUUCUAAAAAAUUACCCACCUAUACCAUUAUAAAAAUAGCCUAAAGUAACCCUCUAAAUCUAUAUCUAAAUUAUCCAUCUCUACCAUUAUAUAAAAUUAACUAAAGUAACCCCUAAUUUUCAUCAAAAUUACUCACUCAUGCCAUUAUGAACAAUAUUUAAAAUAACCCCCUAAAUUUGCAACUAAAUAGCCCACCACUAGCACUUACAAAAAACUUAAAGUAAUCCCUUAAAUUUGCAUCUAUAUUAUCCACAUAUGCCAUAAUUAAAAAUAACAUGAGGUAACCCGACAUUUG
rnacentral:lncRNA from 1 species